GAUGAAGAACGUAGCGAAAUGCGAUACUUGGUGUGAAUUGCAGGAUCCCGUGAACCAUCGAGUCUUUGAACGCAAGUUGCGCCCGAAGCCACUAGGCCGAGGGCACGCCUGCCUGGGCGUCACACGCCGUUGCCCCCCCAUCUACUCCUUCGGGAUUGCGGGGGGGCGGAUGAUGGCCUCCCGUGCGCCUAGCCGCGCGGUUGGCAUAAAUACCAAGUCCUCGGCGACGCACGCCACGACAAUCGGUGGUUGCGAAACCUCGGUUGCCCGUCGUGUGCGUUCGUCGCGCAUCGAGGGCUCGAAAAAAUGCUCGGCUCCGGCUGGGCUUUCAACGCGACCCCAGGUCAGGCGGGGUUACCGGCUGAAUUUAAGCAUAUCAAUAAGCGGAGGA
rnacentral:misc_RNA from 1 species